UGACAGCGUUUGCGUGUUACGGUUUUGUUCCCCCUUUUGCCGGAGUCUACCGUAUUACUUCCGCCCUCUUCGCCGCUAUCUUUAGCGCGUCAUGUUUGUGUGUCUUUCUCCUCUGCAUGACAUUUGCAUACAGGCUCUGCAGCGAGGUGAAGCCCGUUAACAAGCUCAGCGAAGAAUACCGCACUGGAGACCUCGAAAAGCCUUUAACGCGCUAGUCUCUUGAGGGAGAAUAGGCGAGCGAGAGGGCGACAGAAAACGCGACAUAGAAUCAGCGAAUGAGAGCGACAAGGGGGGGGGGGGGUGAAAGGAAAGGAGAUGAAAACAGCGCGCCCGUAUACGAGAGAAAAGAGGAGAAAAUGAGAUAAACGGAGGUGGGAGAGCGACGCGUUGAUUCUUCGUUAGGGCGCCGAGCGAGACAUCUGCGUAGAUUUCCUGUUGGGAAGACGGCGCUGACUGUCUUCCACUUUUUGGGACUGGACAUAUUGAAAUCGUGACGAAACGCGCAGCAAAGAUGGAUGUUCUUGGCCUUGUGUGUUGCGCCAGUGCUCUCUGGUUUGUGUCGCUCGUUGUCUCAACUAUUAUCGCGGGAGCGUGGCAAGGGAAAGGGUCACGCGAAGCAGCCAUGGCUUUCGGCGCACCAAGUCCACACGCUGUCUCCAUCUGAUCCUUUUUCACCGCUCACUGAUCCGUGGUACACAACGACCAUCCACAGAAGUGCAUAUGUGCAGUUACAUGCGUACGUAGACAUUUAAACUCAUUGUCUCUCUUUCUCUCUCUCUCCCUCUCUCUCUCUCUAUAUAUAUAUAUAUAUAUAUAUCGCAUGCACGGUCUCAGUCGGAUGCCCAUGACGUUUCUGUCAAGCAUUUAUGUACUGGCAGAUGCGCCAUAUUGAGCUGUUGUGUAUCCUUGCCCAUAUAACGCCGUGAUGCCUAUAUAUAGAUAUAGGUGAAUUGUAGUUGUAUACGCCUGUGUUGAUGCAAUGUCGAAUGUACAAUAUAUAUAUAUAUAUAUAUAUAUAUAUAUAUAUAACGAUGGGGGAGCUGCGGGUUUAAGGGGACGGAUUCUGAGGCGUGGUUGCCUUAUGGCGCGCGGGGUGCCCGUGACUCUUUUAAGGCGCCCUGUGCAUGCCACCAAAGCGACUGUCGUCGGUAGAGGGUCGUCCCUUUUGAGAGCGUUGGAACUGUCGCACAAAAGAUACCGGAAAACACAAACGAAGGGAUGGAGGUUUCCGCGGACUGACAUCCGGGCAUUCGGUCGAAUGGAAAGGUGGGAGAAAGGAACGAAACAGGCAGAAUGGACAGAACAGAGACAGAUUCCAAACGCCAGGCGUGCCGUUUAUCUGCUUGACAGGACACAAAAUGCCGGGAAUGGAAGGGCGAAGGGAAAGCGACGGUAGCGCAGUGGCUCAAUGCGCUUCGAAUGCUCGUGCGCACCUCUCGACUGUUUUGGAAAGGUGCAAUUGAGGUGCUGUUUCGUCGGCGUACGCCCCUGUCUGCUGUGUCUCUCUGUCAUGUGAUAAGCCUCUUUCUCGCUUUUUAGGGAGGGAGAGACAAGGGUUAAUUGAUAGGGAAGGGAACACAUGUGUCAGGGAGGUUCGACGGUGUCACGGGAAGACUCAAGUGGAUGUAUCUCCGGUUGGUUUGUCCAGUACAUGCGGACGACUGGAGAAAAGGAAUAAAAUACUUCACUUGUCCAAACGGACCUUUCAUCAUGCACCAACACGCCUAGCAGGAUAAAAGACAUACUUGCAUUCAUAUAUAUAUAUAUAUAUAUAUGUCACCAUCUGUACAUGAGGACGAUUAUAUGUGCAUAUAGAAGCACACAUGUGCACGUACAUGUGGUAAUGCGGCUGCGUAAGUGUUGUAUUUGGGAUCUCAUUUGACGUCGUCUGUGGGGAAGGCUCAGUAGUAUGGGGAACUUGGGAGGUUUCUUUGCCUGUUUGGCGCUGUUGGCUUUCCACCGGAAACACCUCUUGGACGUGCAGGCCUCUUCCGUGAACCCUCUGUGGCGACACUUCCGAUUUUUUUGGACCGGCCGGUCUCGUCCAAACACCGUUCUAAAAGAAUUCUUCUCGUGCACAGGUUUGGGCGGGUAGCGCCGCUCUCUUGGCUGCGUAACCCGGCAGCUGUGUAGAGAAGCAUCUACACCAAAUCAGGACUUCGUGUCGGUGACCUGUGCUGAAACACCAUGGAAACGAAAUAGGCUGUUAACCUGUUCACGCGCUGCGAGAAGAGAC
rnacentral:lncRNA from 1 species